UUUUUUUCAGCCCUCUGAGCUCCGACCUAAGGCCGAUCUGCUCCGUUCAUCGGACUUAUAUGCUCAGUCUCACGCGCCGUCGCCAACCCCGCCACACACGGCGGUUGGGAUCUAAAAAGCUUCGCUUUUCUAGGUGAGUUUAGAAGGUACUUCUCCCUUCUCUGUUUUUUAAUAUAUUAUGCAUAGAUUGUUUAUAAUAAAGUAAAAGAAAAUAAAAUAAAAUAGAGUAAGAAUAAUAGAUCACCUUCGUUUCUCGCGAAAUAAUUAUGAUAUAUUAUUGCAAAAAUGUUUUGUGUACAAUAUUUUUUUUGUGUUUUUCUUUUACAGAUUUUAGAAAAGGCUUUAUAGCCUUAAUCUACUGCCUAUUUUGGAAAGAAAUCGAAAGAUUUCUUUCCAAACCCUAUUCUAAUCUCUUUGCCUUAAUUUCUUUCCUUUUCUUGCAGGCGAAUCGCGAGGAUUUCGUUCAAACACCCAUGGCUACGCGCUGAUGGGGCUAGUCUGGAUUGUAGCGCAUGACGAUUCUGGCAUGAUUUGCGCGCUGAUGGUGGCGCAAUGCAUGGUGGUGAAGUUGAGGGGUCACGGCGCACUGAUGAAGGCGACAAUUGAGCCACUGGACCUGAAAAGUCAUGACCGUUGGAACCUCGAAGCAUCUAGAAUCCCCCUUUGCGGCGCCUAACUUCUCAGAGAGCCCUAGGGUUUCCAGAUCCAUUUACUGUUUUGGGCCUCUUGGGCCCCGUGUAUCCUUGGGUCAAGGAUAUUAGAUCAUCCAGUAUAAAUGGGUCUGAGUAUUUAAAUCUGGGCUUGGGUGUAAUGGGUUGUGGGGUUAAGUGUUUUAUUUUCUGGUUUUGUACACGGACCCUUUUUAAUGGACUGUUAAAU
rnacentral:lncRNA from 1 species